CGGCCGCCUACCGGCUGCAGAGGAGAAGGGAGGAAAGGGUGGAAUCUCAACACAAGUGGUAGGCAACUUUGAAAACAAUAAAUAGAUGAAGAAUGGAGAGACCUCAAAAGGAGAGUCUGGGAACCCUAGCCAAAGGUACCAGCUCAGCCACAAUGGGCCAGAGCAACAAGCAGGGUGUUGGAGUUCCUGAGCCCAGGCCUAGGCUCUUGGACAUCAUUUCUGGACCAGCUCUGGGCCAAAAGGGAGCCCACUGACCUGAAGGGCUAUAAUGUGGUAAAAUCGUGGGGACUUAAUUCCAUCAUAUGGAGGUUACUGAAUGUAUCAGAGACAGCCUGCAGUUCAUCACCACACAAAUUAGGAGCAACGUAAGAAGAGAAAAAGAAAAAGGAAUUACAGAUUAAAAAAUGCAAGAGAAUAUAAACAAAUAAAAAUAUGUUCAACUGGAAUUUGUAUUGGGAUUGUAUUAAAUGGAUGAACUAAUUUGUGAAGAAAUGAUAUCAUUCCAUCCAAGAGCAUGG
rnacentral:lncRNA from 10 species